GACGUAGGGGGCAAGCGUUGUCCGGAAUUACUGGGCGUAAAGGGCGUGUAGGCGGUGCGGUACGUAGCGGUUUUAAGCCUCCGGCUCACCCGGAGGAGGGCGGCUAAACGGCAGCACUGGAGGGCAGGAGAGGUGCGCGGAAUUCCUGGUGGAGCGGUGAAAUGCGUAGAGAUCAGGAAGAACACCAGUGGCGAAGGCGGCGCACUGGCCUGGCCCUGACGCUGAGGCGCGACAGCGUGGGGAGCAAACGGGAUUAGAUACCCCGGUAGUCCACGCCGUAAACGAUGGAUACUAGGUGUCGCGGGGGUCCACCUCGCGGUGCCGGAGCUAACGCACUAAGUAUCCCGCCUGGGGAGUACGGCCGCAAGGUUGAAACUCAAAGGAAUUGACGGGGGCCCGCACAAGCAGUGGAGCAUGUGGUUUAAUUCGACGCAACGCGCAGAACCUUACCAGGACUAGACGGGAUCGUGAGCGCCGCGAAAGCGGCGGGCCCUUCGGGGAGCGAUCGUCAGGUGCUGCAUGGUUGUCGUCAGCUCGUGUCGUGAGAUGUUGGGUUAAGUCCCGCAACGAGCGCAACCCUUGUCGUGUGUUGCCAGCGGUUCGGCCGGGCACUCACACGAGACUGCCGGUGACAAACCGGAGGAAGGUGGGGAUGACGUCAAAUCCGCAUGGCCUUGAUGUCCUGGGCUACACACGUGCUACAAUGGUCCCGACAACGGGCCGCGACGGCGCGAGCCUGAGCGAAUCCUUCAAACGGGACCUCAGUUCGGAUUGCAGGCUGCAACCCGCCUGCAUGAAGUCGGAAUUGCUAGUAAUCGCCCAUCAGCAUGGGGCGGUGAAUUCGUUCCCGGGCCU
rnacentral:rRNA from 1 species